UACGUAGGGUGCAAGCGUUAAUCGGAAUUACUGGGCGUAAAGCGUGCGCAGGCGGUUUUGUAAGUCUGUCGUGAAAUCCCCGGGCUCAACCUGGGAAUUGCGCUUGAAACUAGCGGGCUUGAGUGUGGCAGAGGGGGGUGGAAUUCCACGUGUAGCAGUGAAAUGCGUAGAGAUGUGGAGGAACACCGAUGGCGAAGGCAGCCCCCUGGGUCAACACUGACGCUCAUGCACGAAAGCGUGGGGAGCAAACAGG
rnacentral:rRNA from 1 species